AGAUGUGCAGGGAGGAAGCACUCAAAGGGAGGGCCGGUCCCUCACCCAGUGUUUCUGAUGCUUGCCCUGUCCUGCACCUGGAAAGGCUGGGAGUAGACACAUGUGAAAGAAGAGAACAGAGCAGACCUGCCUUCCAGGGACAGGAGGGAGCCACGCUGUGCAUGUCCUGCUCUGUCUGAUGGCUGCCACCCGUGGAAAGGUGCUGCCAUUCUGUCUUCCAUACCUGCACAUCUUUCUACAUUAUGUUUAAGGUUUUUUUUUUUUAACUAAUAUGCUCUACAGAGCAGAUGACCUAAAGAAAAUCACCCUGGAGAUUGUCUCAAGAGGAAGGAAAUGGCUCUUGACAUCGUAAAUCACAGAUGUUUGUUUUCAUGGUGUUUUAAAUUCCAGUGACUUCCGGAAGGUGGGAGCCUGCAGGCAUGGCGGAAGAGACCACUGAGUUAUGGAUCAUAAAUCACUGGGGCCACUUGUGGAACCCAGCCUAAAAUCGCCAGCAGCCAAGAUGAGGCUGCCGGGUGGGGGUAACCUGAAGGAGAAGGAUUUAUAAGCAUGGAGGGCCCACCUCUUGUAGGCAAAUUCAUCUUCUGAGGCAGGAAGCAGCAUUAGGAAUGAUCUAGCCCAUCUCCUUGCCCCAGGGUGAGACAAUAAGGGAUCUUCCACUCUGCCCAGCAUCGUACUGUUUGCAGAAGGAGUAAGAAGGGAUAAAGAGGAAGUUAGAAGACUGACCUAGUCACCAAUGACGGGAGCUGUCCCCUGUCGUUACGCCUUGUGAGGUGACGGAGAACAAGGGGUCAGAAUCACCCUAACAAGGCUGCAUCCACUGCUACUGGAAGGAGGCUGGAUGGCGCGGUCAUGCUUCCUAUGCACAGGCAUACAGUUUGCCUUCCCCUUAGGCCACUGUGGGAUGAGAAUUCCAGGAGAAAACGCAGGAAGGAUGCUUGUUAUUUAAUAACAAGCUUGAGGAAAUCACAACAGAGAGGAGGAAGCAAACAGGCUGACAAGUCAGGAUGGCAGCGUGGGGGCCAGCGCCCCCAGUUCACCCACCAUGGGCAUGAUCCAGGAGGCCAGGCAGGGCUGGAAUUAAGAGCACAGGUUUUGGAGUCUCCCAAUCUCACCUGGAAUUCCAGCCGCACCUCUUACUACACACUGGCCUUGGGUAAAUCAUUCUGUCUCUCCAAUACUUAGUGUUCCUUAUCCACUAGGGGGAUUAAAUGAGAUUCCGGAGUGCCCAGCACACAGCCCAUCAAGACCUGUAGGUGUGCCACACUCCACGUUGUCACCAUGACAUCAGCAACCCCUCCUCUUCCCCCACGGAGUCUUCCCCACUUUCUGAAGUCUGAAGAACUGGGACUGGAACAUGUCCAAGGGGCUGCUCGUCACUGCCGGAGGGAUAACUGUUCAGACACUGUCGUCACACAGUCACAGAAAGACUCAGAACUUCAUUGCUACUUUAUUUGUUGUUUUCUGCCUUUAGGAUACUUCCUUAUGAUAAAAAAUGUGAUAUUACUAAAAAAAUAUUAAAAAGUAGGGAGAAAUGCUACCAAGU
ensembl:lncRNA novel transcript, antisense to CACNA1C